AACAAAAUACAGAGCUGUCAAUCAAAUUUGAAAGCUUUAGUAACUGCAGUAGUUAGGGGGGAGAGUGGGGUAAGAUGAGCCAGUGGGUAAGUUGACCCACCCCUGGUUUCUAGGCAACUGUGGACAUUUGUGGUCAUGUGACCAUAAAUUCAGAAAGAACUUGCCAUUUUGAUCUGGCUGUAAAGUGGAGAAGCAAAUGGGAGAAGUGGUAUUUUUUGCUUGUCAAAGUAAAUUUUCUGCAUGUCAGCUGUAAUGGCUUUUAUGUCAAAGCCAAUUUAUCAUGAUCUAAAUGUUUAUUAUAUAUAUUGGUGAUUUGCCAAUAUAUAAAACCAUGUUAUUCAUUAAGCAGGUCAACCCUGCGGAGGUUCAUAAAAAAGAAGUAGGUAGAGGAAGUAAAAAAAGUUGGGUAUAGUGGAACAGCAGAAGCAAAGAGGGUCUUCACUGAGGAGGUAGAGAAGGAGCUUGCUGACCACAUCAGAAAGCCAGCUGAACAGUUCCAUGGCCUUACUCCAAAUAAAUGCUGUAAGCUAGCAUUUGAAUUGGCAGAAAUAAACAACAUUUCUGUCCCCAACAACUGGAAAGAGAAGGGUUUAGCAGGUAGGUUGUGCAGGAAAGUACAUGAUUCAGUGGGUCUACAAAGGCUCACUUAUGUUGUGUAGUUAAAAUACAGUAUCUUGACACAAUUAAUUAUUUUCUUUAGGUCAAGAUUGAUUCAGGAGUUUUUUGGCACACCACCAUCUCUCAUGUUGUAUGCCUGAAGCAACAUUGUUGGGAGGAGCUACAGCCUUCAAUAAAAAUACAGUUGGGGAGUUCUUUGACAAUCUGUCAAAAGUGAUGGACAGGCAUACAUUUCCUCCAAACAGGAUUUAUAAUGUUGAUGAAACAGGUGUCACAACAGAACAGACACCAAAGGUGGAACGGGACUUAAUGUGGGAUGGGAGACAAAUCCAGAGCAUGGGAGCAGCAAUAGAGAAAACUAGGCUAAAUCAUCCUUCCUGGAGGGUGGGUUCUUGCUUCUUCCAAAUAGUUUAUUUUGAAAGACUAAACAUCUUGCCCAUGUCUAUGAUCUGAUGUUUUAAUCCUUAAUAAAAUUG
rnacentral:lncRNA from 1 species